rnacentral:rRNA from 1 species
GACGAACGCUGGCGGCGUGCUUAACACAUGCAAGUCGAACGGAAAGGCCCUGCUUUUGUGGGGUGCUCGAGUGGCGAACGGGUGAGUAACACGUGAGUAACCUGCCCUUGACUUUGGGAUAACUUCAGGAAACUGGGGCUAAUACCGGAUAGGAGCUCCUGCUGCAUGGUGGGGGUUGGAACGUUUCGGCGGUUGGGGAUGGACUCGCGGCUUAUCAGCUUGUUGGUGGGGUAGUGGCUUACCAAGGCUUUGACGGGUAGCCGGCCUGAGAGGGUGACCGGACACAUUGGGACUGAGAUACGGCCCAGACUCGUACGGGAGGCAGCAGUGGGGAAUAUUGCACAAUGGGCGGAAGCCUGAUGCAGCAACGCCGCGUGCGGGAUGACGGCCUUCGGGUUGUAAACCGCUUUCGCCUGUGACGAAGCGUGAGUGACGGUAAUGGGUAAAGAAGCACCGGCUAACUACGUG